GCUGCCCUGGAGGCAUUGCAGAUGUGACUGCUAUGUCACAUGUGCGUCAGUAGGUGGCAGACAAGAGAGGAAUUAUGUCUAUACAUAAGUAUGUCUUGACCUAUGAACAUUUGAAUGAUUAGUAGUCUAACAUU